CGGAACGUAACUCAGUCUGGUAGAGUGUCUGAUUGAAGCUCAGAUGGUCACAGGUUCAAAUCCUGUCGUUCCGG
rnacentral:tRNA from 1 species